UACAGAGGUCCCAAGCGUUGUUCGGAAUCACUGGGCGUAAAGCGUUUGUAGGCGGCUUUGUAAGUUAGCUGUGAAAGCCUGGGGCCUAACCCCAGAAGUGCAUCUAAUACUGCAGAGCUUGAGUAUGAGAGAGGAAGAUGGAAUACCUGGUGUAGUGGUGAAAUACGUAGAUAUCAGGUGGAACAUCGGUGGCGAAAGCGGUCUUCUGGCUCAAUACUGACGCUGAAAAACGAAAGCGUGGGGAUCAAACAGG
rnacentral:rRNA from 1 species